GGAGGGAAGGGCGAUAUGGAUGCAACAUCUGUCACCCCAUUGAUCACCAGGGUUGAUUCAGCUGAUCUUGCUGGCUAGGUGUGUCUCCCAUUCCUCACCACUCUGUGUACAUCUGUCCUGAAGCUGCAUGCUUGGUCAAAGAGGAUGGCCUUCCCCAAUAAAGAUGGUACUGUUCACUGCUCAAGGGUGUAUGGUAGCUGUGAUCCCCUGCUAGAACCUUCAAAAGAGCUCAAGAUCCGUUUGUAGCAGAACAUAGGGUAGUCAAACUUCCAAGACAGCAGACAAAUGAGGCACUGCAUGGGGCAGCCUGCCAUCGUAA
rnacentral:snRNA from 1 species